GACGAACGCUGGCGGCGUGCUUAACACAUGCAAGUCGAACGGAAAGGCCUCUUUCGGGGGGUACUCGAGUGGCGAACGGGUGAGUAACACGUGAGUAACCUGCCCGUGACUUUGGGAUAACUUCAGGAAACUGGGGCUAAUACCGACUAGGAGCUCCUGCUGCAUGGUGGGGGUUGGAAAGUUUCGGCGGUUGGGGCUGGACUCGCGGCUUAUCAGCUUGUUGGUGGGGUAGUGGCUUACCAAGGCUUUGACGGGUAGCCGGCCUGAGGGGGUGACCGGCCACAUUGGGACUGAGAUACGGCCCAGACUCCUACGGGAGGCAGCAGUGGGGAAUAUUGCACAAUGGGUGGGAGCCUGAUGCAGCAACGCCGUGUGCGGGAUGACGGCCUUCGGGUUGUAAACCGCUUUCGCUCAUGACGAAGCUUUGUGUGACGGUAGUGGGUAAAGAAGCACCGGCUAACUACGUG
rnacentral:rRNA from 1 species